UUACAUUAUAUCUUCAAUUGUUAAUAUUAGCGAAAAAAAUUUCUCAACUCUGAAAUAAAUAACUAAAAUAAUAUAUUUUCUAAAUUUUAUGAAAAUUGUAUGUAGAACGUAAAGAAUGCAUAGAUCAAGAAUCGUAUACGAAGCGCAUCAUCAUCAUCAUCAUCAUCACCAUUAUCAUGAUGUUCUAGACGUAUAUGUUUAUAUAUCAUUGCACUUGUAUAAAUAUCAAUGCAUUUUUGACAAUGUUGCGAGUCGUCUUUGACGUCGGUGAUCCGAUAGCCGAGUGCACUUCGUACGCGGAUAUGCGAUAACAAUGCUACGUACUAUGCACUAAGAUUGUAAGUCGUUGAAAAAAACUCUGUGCCGUCGAACUUUAAACUCUUCUUACAAAAUAAAUAACAAUUAUUUGUUCGUUUCUCCAUGCAUUUUUCUGUUCUCGUCUGUAUCUUUCAAAGCUCUACAAGAGCAUAUCCUUAGUCUAUUGCGAAUAUGCAAAGAGAGCAGCAAAGUAAACAAAUCUAUUAGAACAUUUCCGUGUCAGUAAUUUUCCACUUUAUGAUUUUCUUCGAUCUUUAUCUGUCAAUAGAAGAUUCAAUUCUAAAAAUUGAUCUAAGCAAAAUCAGAUCUUGCUUGGCUACAUAGUCCAACUAAAUGAAAUAGAGCUAGAAAAAUUACUUAAACAUUACACAGUAUUAUAGUUGCUGGAUUUCAGUGUAUCAACAUUUUUAACAUCAUUCUGUGUACAUCAAAGAAAAUAUUUCAUCUUUCGUUAUCACACUUUUUUAUGCAUGGAUGCAGAUGAAAUCCUAAAGUUUGUACAAUGUAGCAGUGCUAAAUUUCUCGUCUCGUCAUACAUCGAUCAUGCGUCAUACAAGCUUCUCAUGCAAAUGAAAUAAGAUUUAUGUGUAAGCAAUACUUGUUUGCCAAAAAGUUGUUGAACUGCAUAAAAUAAACAGUUUUUCGCCGUUUCUUCCGCUGAUUCGUAGCUACUAUAGUAAACAACAAAGUCCAUUAAUAAUAACGUAAAAUGACACGAUAUCGUGACAUCGCUUCGCAAAUAGAAACGACCUCUCUAAAAAAUGCAAAGAAAAAAACGUGACGUAAAAAAGGCAACUUAUCAGUGAUUCGCGCGAGUCUACAUCUUGACAGUUCGUAUUAUUUAACAUCUAUUACUAUUACAGGCGGAAGUGUAUGAUAUUCUCGGUUAAAAAAUACCAUAGGAAAAUCAAUGUAUAAUGUUAAAUCUUCACUAUACUUUAUACCGAGUCCAUUUAAUUUUCAGUAGCAGUAUUCAUUCCAUUAAUCAGUACCGUCUCGCGAGAGGCACGACCGAACAGAUUAUCAAUGCUAAAGUGACUCGCAACUUAUACCGAUGUAAAAUGUUGCUGUCAAAUAUAGUUAACCGUUUCUGGAGAUUUACAAUUACUUAAUUUCCACACAAUUGCAUUUAUGUCAAAUGUAUAUAUCUGUAUGUAUGUAAAAAAUGCAUAGAAAGCCAGUGAUACGAAAUAAUUUCAAAAAAAUAAUUUUUAUGAAAAAUGUUGAGUGUUAAAAACAGAAAAACUUGAAAAAAAAAAAACGUUGAUUUGAGAACAAAAUCUCUUCGACAUAGGAUACAAAUUGAUAACAUAAUUAUUUAUUUAAUUUUGGAUCUUUAAUAAAAUGAUAAUGUGACCGUAACUAAUAAAAGUCAUUUAAUGUUAAAAAUUAAUAGAUUUACGCGUCUGUACGUACGCAAAUUCAAUUCCAAGGAUAUCGACCCUAGGCACAAUCAAUCCGCAAUAUCCUCGGAGCCACAAUUGGUUGCGUGUGUUACUACAAAAUUGAGUAAUCGCACACGAGACAACGGAUAAAGUGAUCUAGAUCACGGUCAAAUGCAUGUAAAACCUUGGAAACGACCUGAAUUUUCUACAUUAUCUUUUAUUUUCAAUUUUCCCUUGUAAUUUUUCGUAUGAUAUUAAAGGCCAUCAUUUCACAAAUAAAAUUUUACUAAUCCUUCCUAAUCAGAUUUUUUAACAGAAAUUUGCAUAUUACGCGGAUCUUAUUGUCUUUUCUUUAUUACAAAAUUCAUAAGAAAUCUUUCAGGACGAUAAAACAUUUCUGCGAGAAAAUAGCUUCGAGUUGAAAAAGAAAAAUUGACAGGAAUUCAUUACGUGAAAUUGAAUUUUUAAUCAAUUCAAUUCAUCAAAGCGGAUAAUUAGCUUUUAAAUAGAAUUUUCUUCCUUCUUUGCUUGCUUGUUCCUAAUGGCUAAAUACAGAAUUUUAUUUAACAUUUUACAUUUUAUGCCAAAUGUAAAACAGUAUCUAAUUUUCUAUUUUUUUGUUUAUCGCUUCUUUUACCAACUAGAAUACUUUCUAGAAAAAAAGAACUCUCGUACUUGAAUUAUAACUAAAUACUUUUUCAUUUAAUAACAAUGCUAACUCUAUUGUUGAUCAGAUUCGACGCCAAUGAUCCUGAUAGAGAAGCCGCUCUGUUGUAACGGAGGGACGGCUGCGUGUGUGCAUCGAAUACGAGUAUUGGUGUGUGUGUGUGUGUGUGUGUGUGUGAUGCACAGCGAGUCAUCACAUACAUACGGAUCAUAGCCACGCGCGCAUAUAAGAGAAUAUUUCAUCGUUCCCUACGUAGCAAAGUUCCAGGCCGCCGUGACGUGUCCCGCGUCACGAAGAGCAACCCUAUCCGUCUAGGCGCUUGUGUACGUGCGUGUACACAUAUGUUCGUAAUGAAAUUCUCUCGCAGCUGCUCGAAGGCGUGUCGCGGUGCGAUUGGCGUAGCCGAUGGUCGAGCCUCCCGAGACAGUGACGCUAAAGACGACAAGAAGCUCGAACACGCUAAAAAUAGCCCGUAAAGUACUCGCCCGAGCGCGAACGCGCCGCCGACCGCCAACAUUCGUCUAAGGGUGUGCUGCUGCUGCCUGUUUUCGAGACGCCGCCGCGCCGUUGUUCUGGUUACCUCGCCAAGUCGCUAAUUUCGAUAGGCUACGAGCCCGCAAAAAAAAACGCGUCCCCGUACAAGUUAAUCUACUCUUCGCUGUUCUGGAAAUGGUGCGUAAAAAAAUCUUGGAUAGCUUUAGAAUGGUUAAAUACACCGUAAAAAAGGCGAUUUUACGACACAUUAUUAAUAUGGAUGUUUGUUAUAUAAUGACGACCAAUACGAUACGUACGUAGUAGGACUUAUAAUAACGAUGAUCGCGCAUUAUGAUAAUCACGCGAUAAUCUCCUUCUUGGAAUUCUACAGAGAUGACGAUGCGACGCUAAUCAUUUUAGCUAUGUUAAUUAGUUCGAAGUGUUACGAUAUCUUAUAACGCAAAAUGUCGCGUGUUCCAGGUAAGCAAAAGACUCAAUUGCCACUUGUGGCAUUCCGUUCCGCAUGAUUAAUAUUUUUUUAAGCCGACUUCAUUUUCUUACAGAAGUAGUUUUCGUUAAAAUUCCACGUUUGAUAAUAGUGUAUCGCUUUAUAUGGUGCGAAAAUGGAACUUAAUGAUGAUAAUGGGUUUUAACAAGAAUUUUCAAGCAGCUGUCAUUACUCAUACAUUGUAUUCAAGGAGCACUGACGAGGCACUUCCUCCGUUUUUGAUUAUUAUCGAAUCGCAGCCAAUCGCCACGCAAUGCGAGACUGUCUUUGCAGCAUGCUAAAACUCAAAGAGAAUUCAAGUUUUCGAUGCACCGAACCUAUUUUAUUUAUAAAAAUAUUUUACUUAUAAAGAAAGAUGGAAUUAUAUAUCUAUGACUGUUGAAAUUACACAAUCAAUGUAUACAUUAAUCAAUAUCUUUGCAAUAUUUUUACAAUUUGACCAAACAGCAAUUGUACUUGGUGAGAUGACAACUUUCUCAGCGUUUUUGCAUCAGAGUUUGAUCUAAAUGAUUACGAUAAAGAAAUCGAAGAGCAGUUAUUGAAUUUAUAAUAAAAUUAAGAUUUGUAUAAUGAAAUAAAAAUAAUUUCUCUCUCUAGUA